GAUGAACGCUGGCGGCGUGCCUAAUACAUGCAAGUCGAGCGAACAGACGAGGAGCUUGCUCCUCUGACGUUAGCGGCGGACGGGUGAGUAACACGUGGAUAACCUACCUAUAAGACUGGGAUAACUUCGGGAAACCGGAGCUAAUACCGGAUAAUAUAUUGAACCGCAUGGUUCAAUAGUGAAAGACGGUUUUGCUGUCACUUAUAGAUGGAUCCGCGCCGCAUUAGCUAGUUGGUAAGGUAACGGCUUACCAAGGCAACGAUGCGUAGCCGACCUGAGAGGGUGAUCGGCCACACUGGAACUGAGACACGGCCCAGACUCCUACGGGAGGCAGCAGUAGGGAAUCUUCCGCAAUGGGCGAAAGCCUGACGGAGCAACGCCGCGUGAGUGAUGAAGGUCUUCGGAUCGUAAAACUCUGUUAUUAGGGAAGAACAAAUGUGUAAUUAACUAUGCACGUCUUGACGGUACCUAAUCAGAAGGCCACGGCUAACUACGUG
rnacentral:rRNA from 1 species